UCGGCCCACCUAACACAUUAAAUGCGGGUGGCCAGAGAGGGUGCUCGGUCGAUAUUAAUCUCAUUCUCAUCCGAUCCCCAUUUCGACGCAGGAGGGAAGGAAAUCUAGCGUACUGUUCACCAGAUCCACAAAUCCGGACAGAGGGAGAGUUAGUCGUCGAUGAUGGCGAGCCAGAACCUAGGAGACAUUCCGCCGGUGCUGCCAAUCGUGGGUUGCCCGGACUGCGGCAGGAAGGUAGUCACGUACGGUAGCUCGCCGCGGGCAGCAUGUGGGCGAGCGCUUCUACAAGUGCCGCUACCACAAUCCAUCAGCAGGGGGAUGUGAUUUCUACAGGUGGCAAGAAGCGUACGCCGAGCACCUCGCAUCAAAUCCACAGGCGCAGAUCCAGGCGGCGCAAGUUGGUCAAGGUGCGCAGGCGCCGGUCGGGGCGGAGGGGCACCAGAACGUGGCGCCGGGGGGAUCUCAGUUUGGCUCGUCGGCAAGCGAAGAGCUGUUUUUUGCUACUUGUAAAUGCCAUAUAUGUGGUAGAUAGGAGGUACCAGAUACAUUCAACACUUGUCAGACAACAAUUCUUGAACUAAAUUUUAUACUGCUUAAAUAUGAAAUAUAUGGACCAACUGAUUUGCUGAAUAUUGUAGAUGGAUGGUCCAGGAGAAAAUGUGAUUAGACUCUAAAAGGUGCGGUGAUUUCUUCUUUUUCUAGGAGAUGGACCAAAUGUGGUGGUUGGGACCUUGCAUGAUUCUCAAGGCUCUGUCCGAAACCAAUUUCCCAGGAAUACAGAUUGUAGUAGUCAUAUGCUUCUCCGAGAGAAUCAAAGCUGUCGCCGACAGCAGGAACUACAAUUCUCUUCUUCUCUGCGUAGCAUCUCAACGUUUUUUCAAGUGCGCUUAUUCUGUCCGCGCAUGGAGGACGCUCAAGAGGGGCUCGGCCAAUACGUACUCUGCAACACCCACACAUGGAGCAUCAGUAUGCUACCACCCUGUUUUGUGAACUUUUGAAAUUGCAAGCGUAAUUCGGUU